rnacentral:rRNA from 1 species
GAUGAACGCUGGCGGCGUGCUUAACACAUGCAAGUCGAACGGAAAGGCCCAAGCUUGCUUGGGUACUCGAGUGGCGAACGGGUGAGUAACACGUGGGUGAUCUGCCCUGCACUUCGGGAUAAGCCUGGGAAACUGGGUCUAAUACCGGAUAGGACCACAUUUUGGAUGGUGUGGUGGAAAGUUUUUCGGUGUGGGAUGAGCUCGCGGCCUAUCAGCUUGUUGGUGGGGUAAUGGCCUACCAAGGCGUCGACGGGUAGCCGGCCUGAGAGGGUGUACGGCCACAUUGGGACUGAGAUACGGCCCAGACUCCUACGGGAGGCAGCAGUGGGGAAUAUUGCACAAUGGGCGCAAGCCUGAUGCAGCGACGCCGCGUGGGGGAUGACGGCCUUCGGGUUGGAAACUCCUUUCGCUAGGGACGAAGCGUUAUGUGAUGGUACCUGGAGAAGAAGCACCGGCUAACUACGUG